UACGUAGGGUGCGAGCGUUAAUCGGAAUUACUGGGCGUAAAGCGCGCGUAGGCGGACCUGCAAGUCGGGGGGUGAAAGCCCGAGGCUCAACCCUCGGAACUGCCUUCGAUACUGCGGGUCUCGAGUCCGGGAGAGGAGAGUGGAAUUCCCGGUGUAGCGGUGAAAUGCGCAGAUAUCGGGAAGAACACCCGUGGCGAAGGCGGCUCUCUGGGACGGUACUGACGCUGAGACGCGAAAGCGUGGGGAGCGAACAGG
rnacentral:rRNA from 1 species